CUUGGGUAUCUGCUUACGCCAUAUAUUUUUGGUUGGAGAUGUGCCUUGGAGCCCUAGCACACGACAGAUUCACACCAUGGUCACGGCCAGGAUCAGGAGCAUGGAAUCUUUGGGAGAUCUUCGCCUCCCUUCUGCAGAUGUCCUGUCAAGCAACUUUUCAAAAGAGGAAAAGAGAAAGGUGACAAAAUUGGUAAAACAUAAAAGCCUCUUGGAUCCUGCUUAUGGAAUAUCUCUUCCUGCUGGCUGCAAAAGACUUGGACCAGGUCAAACCAUAGACCCUCAAAAGUCCAGAGGUUUUUGGCCAGAGUUCAAGACAAGAUCCUGGGUUUAGUGGAUUUGCACCAAUACAGCGAUUUUCGUGUUCUUCUGACACAGGAAAUCAAAGAGACGUUCUCUUGUGAAGACGGAUGUAAUGAGCAAGGCAUCAUGCAUGAGUGAUUUCUGCUUUACAUCCUGAUUCAAGCUAAACAUUUAAUGAUGAAGCCUAGAGUUCAGAAAUUGAAGGAUGGAAAAAUAAAAACCCCAAACUUGUG
rnacentral:lncRNA from 1 species